AGAGAGAACAGAAAGCCAGACAUGGAAACAGAUGACUGCAGCUCUUAGAGCUCUCCAUCCCACCUGAUGAUUCAUCUCUCCCUCUGCCUUCCCUGUUCGUUUGAAACAUGCAGUGGAAUUGAACGGGAAGACAGUAUCAAAUACUAAUUAAUCAUGAUUCUGCAUCUAUAUAGCAGUAGACAACACUGACUGAUGUUGUCCUUUGGCUGAGCAAAUUUCCUGCUGCUUGGAGAUCUCAUUCAGAAAUGCUGAUUCAUUUCUCCCUGCCAACUAAAGUGUGCUGCUGCAGAAACCGCGGAUAGAAUGGAUGAUAAGAAAAAUAUACUGUAUCCUAGACCCUGAAUACAAUAAACAAAAGAGAAAGGCAUCCUAGGAGCUGACUGUGAUUCUGGGCUGCCAAUUACAGCUGGCUUCUAAUAUUGACUGAAGUCAUGUCAUAUAACCCAAAUGUCCUUAUUGGGGAAAUCUGGCAGUUGAAACACACAGAUUCCAAGAUUAUUAAGUAAGAAUUCUCAGGUCUCUGGAACAGUUUCCCUUCUUUGCAGUUGUUUACAGUCAGGGUUUGACUAAUUCCAGCUACAGGCUGGAUAUUAGCCAGGACCCUGACUGGAAAAAAUCCUCCUGUGCCGACAUAUUUAUUACAUCAGUUUGCCUCAAAGGGAGGAGGGAAUACAUUUAGAGAUGCAUCAUGAGCCAAUCAGAAGAGAGAUUCUCAAACCCUGGAAUGGAAACAAAUGACUGCAGUCCUUGGAGAUCUGCCUAGGAGCUCCUGAUUCAUCUAUCUCUCUCCCCUCCCUGUUUUUCUCAAAGAAGUAUGAAUAUUGAUUUCGGAGGACAGAAUUUAAUGUAAUUUGCUUGCAUGGUGACCAAGUUCAGUGAAUGGGAGCAGCAACAUGAAUAAUAAAAUGGGCUUCCAUAUGAUUUUGAAGAAAAAAGUGUUUGAUAUGAAAGUUGGAGAAUUAUUGAGGACAAACAUCACAGAGAAAUUUCAUGCAUAUGCCUGAACAUUCGUCAAUAAAGCUGUCUCUGUGGUUGGUGAAGAUCCUUUUCCAUUGUGGGCUGUCGUUUUGUCUUCCUGACCUCAACAUAAAACUGGAUGAACUGGAAGAAACUACUUUGAGUGAGCUAAUCUUGUCACAAAAAACAAACAUGGUCUGUUUGCAUUCAAAUGUCAUUUGGAGCCUGAACCAAUAGGAAUAGUCUGAUCAAUUCCAUCAUGGAAAGCAAAUCCUGAGGAAAGCUUUGAGAUCUCCUUCUCAGCUUCUCACUCAUUUCUCCCACUCAGCUUAACAUGUCCUGCAGCAGAAAUCAUGAAAUACAAUGGAUGAGGAGAAAGUUACAAUUAAUCCUAAGAACUGAAUACAAGAAACAAAAGAGAAAAGCAUCCUUGGGGUAUUUUCUCUAAAUGUAACAUCCACUAUUCCAAUAGAACUUUGCUUCUAUAGCUUGGAAGAGCACUUGUUCCUUUCUGAUGCUGUAAAACUAGGCCAAGAAUAAAUACUAUCAUGUGCUAACAUGGAAAGAGACAAUUAUACCACAAUCCAACCCUAGACAGAAGACUACAAGCAAUUACAGAAUGCUGAAAGCAUUAAAACAAAGUAAUCUUCCCAAGGUAGAGCUCCUGUUAGAUUUCUUAGAAUUGUGCAGCACACCAGAUUUAGGUUGUUUCCGAAUUUCAAGUUCUACCAGAAAUGGAAGCAUAUCAGACAGGACAACAUGGAGCCUGGUGACCUCUAAGAUGAUGUUUCCAACUGCCGUUGUGAUCACAGGUUAAAGACCCUGGAGCAGAGAGCCCAGAAGCAGCACCAUUGAUGUCUGGCUCAUUCUCUCUUUGGGAAGCCAAAUAGCAUAGCUCCUGCGGUGCUUCUUGCAAAUGGUACACACAGCUCUGUGACUGGUGGCAUGUUCGUUAUCAUUCAUUUGAGAACUUUGUUGGGACAAGACACACAGUGGUUGCCUUAUGCCCUAUCCCAAAGCAUAUGAGAGACUCUUAAGACCCCUAUGGAAGGCCUCACCCUCCCUUGGGAACAGAAAGGGUAUGUGAUAGACAGGAUUUU